AAUCAACGCUGGCGGCGUGCCUAACACAUGCAAGUCGAACGCGAAAGGGGAGCAAUCCCUGAGUAGAGUGGCAAACGGGUGAGUAACACGUGGGUGACCUGCCUUCGAGUGGGGGAUAACGUCCCGAAAGGGACGCUAAUACCGCAUGACAUCCUGCUCUUGGAAGAGCGGAGAUCAAAGCUGGGGAUCGCAGGACCUGGCGCUUGAAGAGGGGCCCGCGCCUGAUUAGCUAGUUGGUAGGGUAAUGGCCUACCAAGGCAACGAUCAGUAUCCGGCCUGAGAGGGCGGACGGACACACUGGGACUGAGACACGGCCCAGACUCCUACGGGAGGCAGCAGU
rnacentral:rRNA from 1 species